CCAGCGAGCGCGAGCAGCGUAAAAGCUAUGCAACAGCAGAGUAAGAGCUUAAUCUUAAUCGAUCCAGCGGCAGUGAUCGCGAGUUGCCGAAAUCUCUGCAUCCCGCGACGGUUAACCAAGAGGCUUCCUCUCAUCACAGCCAGUGUUGCUUCUUCUUUGCUACAAGCAAUCAACUCAGCGACAAGCCGAUCCAGUCCGGAAACGAGACAGCAGACGAUUUAAGAAAGACAAUAGAACAACAAAUCAUUCACCUCAUGCUCCGUUUCACGUCCUUCCUCGCCGGUGCCCGGUGGUGUGCGGUUCAGGGAGGAAAUGAGGAGCUUGAGUGAAGAGCGAAACGGAGGGAACAAAAAUGGAAAGUCCCGGACACGUUUCGAUAGCGGAUUGGUUAG
rnacentral:misc_RNA from 1 species